AUUCUCAUUGAGUCUGGAAUCCUGCGGUGAGUUACUUUCUUUCAGUACAUUUUAGUUUGUUGUUUUCUGACUUGCAGUGUUUCUGUUUAGAAGUCGGCUGCCAGACUCGUUGUUCCUCUGAAGGUAAUCCAUCAGCUGAGGGUGUCAGAGAACGAGAGCGUGGCUCUGCGGGAGCUCCUGGACUGGAGGCGGAAGCUCUGCGAGGAGCGCGAAGGCUGGCAGCAGAUCCUGGGCCACUCGGAGCCCAGAGCGCCUCCCCCGCCGCCCUGCAAAAAGCCGACCCUCUUGAAGAAGCCCGAGGGGGCCUCCUGUAGCAGGCUGCCCCCCGAGUUCUGGGACACCACCAUGUGAUGGGCAGGGCUCACGGGUGAAACCUGGGAUGCCAGGUUCACGGACAGAGGCUGCCUCUACCUGGGGUCCACGCCGGGGGCGGGCUGCACACACCCAUGGGAGACGCACAGGGCGGUGGCGAAAUAGACGAGACGCCCUGGGGGCGGGGGGCGCGUGGGCCUGUGCGCAUGCGCGGGUUCUUCCUCUCCUGUUCUGCGGGGGCGCACGCUGAGCUUGAGGCUCAGGGGGCCUGGGGCCCUGCUCCCCGGGGGUAGCACCAGGCCAAGUGUAGACAAGGAGGGGGAAGCCGGUGGGAAGGCGAGCCGGCCCCGCCCACGUCCUCGUCCAGUUGUUUCUAUGUGAUGUGGUCCGACCACGUGUUUCUUGGACUCCGCUCAUGUUCCGAUCAGACACCCUGCAGGACGUACAUUUUCUUUCUUUGUGGGCAUUUGUGUUUUAUUGGAAUUACAAUCCUGGUCACUAUUUACAUGUUGGUUACUGUAUUUUAUAACUUUAUGCAAUUGGUGGUGCUCCCUUUCUUCAAAAUACAGAUUUUAAAAAAUCACUUCUAGAACUUUCUUUUUCCAGAUACCUUUUUCUUUUGAAAUGCUAGGUACCUAAAAAUCCGAGACAGUGUUGUCGCUUUCGCUUCGCAGUGUCAAGCCCUGCAAACCUACGGCCAGAGUCCCUGGUCUUAUUUCCUGUGUCCAUCCAUCAGGGGGCGGUUCCUCCCUGUGCCCAGCCAGUACGUCUGGGUGCCAGGACGGUGAACUCUUUAUUGAAAUCUCAUCCUCUGACUUCAGCGGAGGUUACAGGAAAUGAUGGGACAUGCCUGGAAACCCGCAUGGCUUCAGAUUCAUAGCUAGGGGUGUGCAGGGGUCAUAGCCGUUCAAAGGUCUACGCCGCACACAUUUUCACACGGAGAUUUUCUGGCCGGAGCAGUGAUGCCGCCCACAAGACGCUUGUCCUCGCCCGGCUCUGCUGCAUGGUGCCCCCGCUGUAGGCCCCCGCCCCCGCUGGUGGCGCACCCGCCUUGCUUACCCUCGUGCGCUCCUGGCUUUUGGGAAGCUCUGAGCCCGGCCCUCCGCACAUCCUGUGUUGCUCCCUGGAACUCCCUACGCCUCUCGGCCUUUGAAAAGUUACUGUGCCAAUAAAAGGGUACAACUC
rnacentral:lncRNA from 1 species